AACGAACGCUGGCGGCAGGCCUAACACAUGCAAGUCGAGCGAGGACUUCGGUCCUAGCGGCGGACGGGUGAGUAACGCGUGGGAACGUGCCCUUUGCUUCGGAAUAGCCCUGGGAAACUGGGAGUAAUACCGGAUGAGCCCUUUGGGGGAAAGAUUUAUCGGCGAAGGAUCGGCCCGCGUUGGAUUAGGUGGUUGGUGGGGUAAUGGCCUACCAAGCCGACGAUCCAUAGCUGGUUUGAGAGGAUGAUCAGCCACACUGGGACUGAGACACGGCCCAGACUCCUACGGGAGGCAGCAGUGGGGAAUCUUAGACAAUGGAGGAAACCCUGAUAUAGCCAUGCCGCGUGAGCGAUGAAGGCCUUAGGGUUGUAAAGCUCUUUCAGCUGGGAAGAUAAUGACGGUACCAGCAGAAGAAGCCCCGGCUAACUCCGUG
rnacentral:rRNA from 1 species